rnacentral:rRNA from 1 species
GAUGAACGCUGGCGGCGUGCCUAAUACAUGCAAGUCGAGCGAACAGAUAAGGAGCUUGCUCCUUUGACGUUAGCGGCGGACGGGUGAGUAACACGUGGAUAACCUACCUAUAAGACUGGGAUAACUUCGGGAAACCGGAGCUAAUACCGGAUAACAUAUUGAACCGCAUGGUUCAAUAGUGAAAGGCGGCUUUGCUGUCACUUAUAGAUGGAUCCGCGCCGUAUUAGCUAGUUGGUAAGGUAACGGCUUACCAAGGCAACGAUACGUAGCCGACCUGAGAGGGUGAUCGGCCACACUGGAAAUGAGACACGGUCAAGACUCCUACGGGAGGCAGCAGUAGGGAAUCUUCCGCAAUGGGCGAAAGCCUGACGGAGCAACGCCGCGUGAGUGAUGAAGGUCUUCGGAUCGUAAAACUCUGUUAUCAGGGAAGAACAAAUGUGUAAGUAACUAUGCACAUCUUGACGGUACCUGAUCAGAAAGCCACGGCUAACUACGUG